CGACUCUGGUUUCUCUUCAUUACGCACAAGCCUUUCGCCUUAAUAAAGACUUCCGUGGAGAGGAACACUUUAGACGAGUUCAACGUAUUUUUGGAAGGGCUUUGCUUUCUGGCAGAGC